rnacentral:rRNA from 1 species
UACAGAGGUGGCAAGCGUUGUUCGGAAUUACUGGGCGUAAAGGGCGCGUAGGCGGUUCGUUAAGUCCUGUGUGAAAUCCCCCGGCUCAACUGGGGAACUGCACAGGAAACUAGCGGGCUUGAGUUCGGGAGAGGGUAGUGGAAUUCCCGGUGUAGUGGUGAAAUGCGUAGAUAUCGGGAGGAACAUCAGUGGCGAAGGCGACUACCUGGCCUGUUCUUGACGCUGAGGCGCGAAAGCUAGGGGAGCAAACGGG